CGAAACGAAGUGAUCUAUCCAUGAGCAAGUUGAAGCUAGUGUAAGAACUAGUGGAGGACUGAACCCAUAGGCGUUGAAAAGCCCCGGGAUGACUUGUGGAUAGGGGUGAAAGGCCAAUCAAACUUCGUGAUAGCUGGUUCUCUCCGAAAUAUAUUUAGGUAUAGCGUUGUGUCGUAAUAUAAGGGGGUAGAGCACUGAAUGGGCUAGGGCAUACACCAAUGUACCAAACCCUAUCAAACUCCGAAUACCUUAUAUGUAAUCACAGCAGUCAGGCGGCGAGUGAUAAAAUCCGUCGUCAAGAGGGAAACAACCCAGACUACCAGCUAAGGUCCCUAAGUCUUACUUAAGUGGAAAACGAUGUGAAGUUACUUAAACAACCAGGAGGUUGGCUUAGAAGCAGCCAUCCUUUAAAGAAAGCGUAAUAGCUCACUGGUCUAGUGAUUUUGCGCGGAAAAUAUAACGGGGCUAAAGUAAGUACCGAAGCUGUAGACUUAGUUUACUAAGUGGUAGGAGAGCGUUCUAUUUGCGUCGAAGGUAUACCGGUAAGGAGUGCUGGAGCGAAUAGAAGUGAGCAUGCAGGCAUGAGUAGCGAUAAUUAAUGUGAGAAUCAUUAACGCCGUAAACCCAAGGUUUCCUACGCGAUGCUCGUCAUCGUAGGGUUAGUCGGGUCCUAAGUCGAGUCCGAAAGGGGUAGACGAUGGCAAAUUGGUUAAUAUUCCAAUACCAACAUUAGUGUGCGAUGGAAGGACGCUUAGGGCUAAGGGGGCUAGCGGAUGGAAGUGCUAGUCUAAGGUCGUAGGAGGUUAUACAGGCAAAUCCGUAUAACAAUACUCCGAGAACUGAAAGGCUUUUUGAAGUCUUCGGAUGGAUAGAAGAACCCCUGAUGCCGUCGAGCCAAGAAAAGUUUCUAAGUUUAGCUAAUGUUGCCCGUACCGUAAACCGACACAGGUGGGUGGGAUGAGUAUUCUAAGGCGCGUGGAAGAACUCUCUUUAAGGAACUCUGCAAAAUAGCACCGUAUCUUCGGUAUAAGGUGUGGUUAGCUUUGUAUUAGGAUUUACUCCGAAAGCAAGGAAACUUACAACAAAGAGUCCCUCCCGACUGUUUACCAAAAACACAGCACUCUGCUAACUCGUAAGAGGAUGUAUAGGGUGUGACGCCUGCCCGGUGCUCGAAGGUUAAUUGAUGGGGUUAGCAUUAGCGAAGCUCUUGAUCGAAGCCCGAGUAAACGGCGGCCGUAACUAUAACGGUCCUAAGGUAGCGAAAUUCCUUGUCGGUUAAAUACCGACCUGCAUGAAUGGCGUAACGAGAUGGGAGCUGUCUCAAAGAGGGAUCCAGUGAAAUUGUAGUGGAGGUGAAAAUUCCUCCUACCCGCGGCAAGACGGAAAGACCCCGUGGACCUUUACUACAGCUUGACACUGCUACUUGGAUAAGAAUGUGCAGGAUAGGUGGGAGGCUUUGAGUAUAUGACGCCAGUUGUAUAUGAGCCAUUGUUGAGAUACCACUCUUUCUUAUUUGGGUAGCUAACCAGCUUGAGUUAUCCUCAAGUGGGACAAUGUCUGGUGGGUAGUUUGACUGGGGCGGUCGCCUCCCAAAUAAUAACGGAGGCUUACAAAGGUUGGCUCAGAACGGUUGGAAAUCGUUCGUAGAGUAUAAAGGUAUAAGCCAGCUUAACUGCAAGACAUACAAGUCAAGCAGAGACGAAAGUCGGUCUUAGUGAUCCGGUGGUUCUGUGUGGAAGGGCCAUCGCUCAAAGGAUAAAAGGUACCCCGGGGAUAACAGGCUGAUCUCCCCCAAGAGCUCACAUCGACGGGGAGGUUUGGCACCUCGAUGUCGGCUCAUCGCAUCCUGGGGCUGGAGCAGGUCCCAAGGGUAUGGCUGUUCGCCAUUUAAAGCGGUACGCGAGCUGGGUUCAGAACGUCGUGAGACAGUUCGGUCCCUAUCUGCCGUGGGCGUAAGAAGAUUGAAGAGAUUUGACCCUAGUACGAGAGGACCGGGUUGAACAAACCACUGGUGUAGCUGUUGUUCUGCCAAGAGCAUCGCAGCGUAGCUAAGUUUGGAAAGGAUAAACGCUGAAAGCAUCUAAGCGUGAAGCCAACUCUAAGAUGAAUCUUCUCUAAGCUCUCUAGAAGACUACUAGUUUGAUAGGCUGGGUGUGUAAUGGAUGAAAGUCCUUUAGCUGACCAGUACUAAUAGAGCGUUUGGCUUAUCUUUAAUAAAGCAU
rnacentral:rRNA from 1 species